rnacentral:misc_RNA from 1 species
GCGCUUUAAGCGCAAAAAGUCCUCGCUUCACUUAGCAUAUUUCUAUUUGUUACUGUGCUUUAGCGAGCACUUUUUGCAGUGUUGUUAAAGGUGCUAAGAGGUGCUGAGUGAGGUGAGGCACCAAAGUGGGGACUUGCCUGAUUGAGGCUUACUUGGAUUUGAAAAGGCGAGGGCACCACCUCAUGCAUAUAAUUUUUUUUUUAAAUAGCAAAUAUUAGAAAGAAUCCAACCCUAGCCUCUAAUUUUGAUGCCACCAACUGCUGGAAAACAAGGUCAGACCACA